rnacentral:misc_RNA from 1 species
GAUGAAGAACGUAGCGAAAUGCGAUAAGUAAUGUGAAUUGCAGAAUUCAGUGAAUCAUCGAAUCUUUGAACGCACCUUGCGCCCUUUGGCUAUUCCGAAGGGCAUGCCUGUUUGAGUAUCAUGAACACCUCAACUCUCAUGGUUUGCCAUGAUGAGCUUGGACUUUGGGGGUCUUGCCGGCCUAUGGGUCGGCUCCUCUCAAAUUAAUCAGCUUGCCGGUGUUUGGUGGCAUCACAGGUGUGAUAACUAUCUACGCUUGUGGUUUUCCAUCAGGUAACCUUCAGUGAUGGAGGUUCGCUGGGGCUCAUAAAUGUCUCUCCUCAGUGAGGACAGCUUUUUUGAACGUUUGAUCUCAAAUCAGGUAGGACUACCCGCUGAACUUAAGCAUAUCAAUAAGCGGAGGA